UACGAAGGGGGCUAGCGUUGUUCGGAAUCACUGGGCGUAAAGGGCGCGUAGGCGGCUUAAUAAGUCGGGGGGGAAAGCCUGUGGCUCAACCACAGAAUUGCCUUCGAUACUGUAGAGCUUGAGACCGGAAGAGGUAAGUGGAACUGCGAGUGUAGAGGUGAAAUUCGUAGAUAUUCGCAAGAACACCAGUGGCGAAGGCGGCUUACUGGUCCGGUUCUGACGCUGAGGUGCGAAAGCGUGGGGAGCAAACAGG
rnacentral:rRNA from 1 species